rnacentral:rRNA from 1 species
CCUACGGGCGGCAGCAGUGGGGAAUAUUGGGCAAUGGGCGCAAGCCUGACCCAGCAACGCCGCGUGAAGGAAGAAGGCUUUCGGGUUGUAAACUUCUUUUCUGGGGGACGAACAAAUGACGGUAACCCAGGAAUAAGCCACGGCUAACUACGUGCCAGCAGCCGAGGUAAUACGUAGGUGGCAAGCUUUAUCCGGAUGUAUUGGGUGUAAAGGGCGAGUAGGCGGGAAUGCAAGUCAGAUGUGAAAACUAUGGGCUCAACCCAUAGACUGCAUUUGAAACUGUAUUUCUUGAGUGCUGGAGAGGCAAUCGGAAUUCCGGGUGUAGCGGUGAAAUGCGUAGAUAUACGGAGGAACACCAGUGGCGAAGGCGGAUUGCUGGACAGUAACUGACGCUGAGGCGCGAAAGCGUGGGGAGCAAACAGGAUUAGAUACCCCUGUAGUC